rnacentral:rRNA from 1 species
GACGAACGCUGGCGGCGUGCUUAACACAUGCAAGUCGAGCGGAAAGGCCUCCUUCGGGGGGUACUCGAGCGGCGAACGGGUGAGUAACACGUGAGUGAUCUGCCCUCCACUUCGGGAUAACUGUCUGAAAGGGUGGCUAAUACCGGAUAUGACCAGUUGCUGCAUGGUGUGCUGGUGGAAAGGUUUUUCUGGUGGGGGAUGUGCUCGCGGCCUAUCAGCUUGUUGGNGGGGUAAUGGCCUACCAAGGCUUUGACGGGUAGCCGGCCUGAGAGGGUGACCAGUCACACUGGAACUGAGACACGGUCCAGACACCUACGGGUGGCAGCAGUCGAGUAAUUUUUCUCAAUGGGCGAAAGCCUGAAGGAGCGACGCCGCGUGGAGGAUGAAGGC